ensembl:lncRNA
CGAAAAGACAGAGUGAGAAAAGGAAGGAAGAGGAGAGAAUGGAGUACGACAGAGAGCCAGAAGAACAACAGAGGGCAUGCUCCCAGGGAAUGAGUGUGGCUAGGAUCCAUGACAAGCACAAAUUGAAGUCCUUCUGGGAGCAGAGGAUCCAACAGCACAUCCUGCUGGAGGGGGCGGAGCAUAGCAGGGAGAGACAGCGCUCUGCUCAGCUCCGAGGCUUGAGGCGAACCGACACCUGCCUGAUGGCUGCCCUGGACCACACACUGAGCACUGAAGACAGAAGGAACAGAAUGACUACGACCUCUAACACCUCCAGGUACAAAAAUCAGUCUCUCCGUUGAAGGAGCAUUGGCACUGGAGGAUGCAGCAGGCACA